rnacentral:rRNA from 1 species
CCUACGGGAGGCAGCAGUGAGGAAUAUUGGUCAAUGGGCGCGAGCCUGAACCAGCAAAGUAGCGUGAAGGAUGACUGCCCUCCGGGUUGUAAACUUCGUUUAUAAAGGAAUAAAGUGAGGCACGUGUGCAUUUUAGUAUGGACUUUAUGAAUAAGGAUAGGCUAACUCAGUGCCAGAAGCCGCGGUAAUUCGGAGGAUCCGAGCGUUAUCCGGAUUUAUUGGGUUUAAAGGGAGCGUAGAUGGGUUGUUAAGUCAGUUGUGAAAGUUUGCGGCUCAACCGUAAAAUUGCAAUUGAUACUGGCAGUCUUGAGUACAGUUGAGGUAGGCGGAAUUCGUGGUGUAGCGGUGAAAUGCUUAGAUAUCACGAAGAACUCCGAUUGCGAAGGCAGCUUACUAAACUGCCACUGACAUUGAUGCUCGAAAGUGUGGGUAUCAAACAGGAUUAGAUACCCCUGUAGUG